rnacentral:lncRNA from 1 species
CAGGAACAGAACAGUAAAAGCCUUCCCCAUUUUGACUUCUCCAAUUCUCUGAUGUCCAUACCAACUCCUGGUUUUGACAUCUGUCCAUCCCUUAUCAUUCCUUUCCCUCCUUUCCUUCCCUCCUUUCCUUCCACCCACAUUUUUUAUUUCACUAUAGAGUUUGCAAACAGUGUCAGGUCUCCGCUGGCAACCAGCAACCCUAAGUUACGCUGGGAGUUCUUCGUUCCGCCAGAAGAGACGGAGAAGGAUUGCCGUGGAAACGAGAAGUACCAGCGCGAGCAGGAGAAGCUGAAGGAGGAGUGGGAGAAAGCACAGAGGGAGGUGGCGGAGGAGGAGAGGAAGUACCACGAGGAGGUGUGUGCAUGUUUAUGCUUGAGGGCACAUGUUGCACCCGUGAUGUGUUUUUUUGGUGUAA